ACGAAGAGGAAUGGAUAAAAACAUUGGCGAGCAACUCAAUAAAGCGUAUGAAGCCUUCCGGCAGGCAUGCAUGGAUAGAGAUUCUGCAGUAAAAGAAUUACAGCAAAAGAAUGUUUUUGAUUCAAUGGAGAUACCAUACUGAUUUCUCGUGAAGAAACACCUGAAUCCUAGGUUACAACGAACUAGAAAAAUGACUGAGAGAUCUGGCUUCGGUGAUAACCAGAGCUUUUGUUCAUAAACAUGUGCUACAUGCUCUGUGUCUUAGUCCAUUUGCACUCUAUAACAAAAUACCUUAUACAAG
rnacentral:lncRNA from 10 species